rnacentral:rRNA from 1 species
GAUGAACGCUAGCGGCAGGCUUAACACAUGCAAGUCGAGGGGCAGCGCGAGUAGCAAUACUUGGCGGCGACCGGCGCAAGGGUGCGUAACGCGUGAGCAACAUGCCCGUAUCAGGGGGAUAAUCCAGGGAAACUUGGUCUAAUACCCCAUAGUAAUUUUGUAAGGCAUCUUAUGGAAUUUAAAGCUUUGGUGGAUACGGAUUGGCUCGCGUGACAUUAGCUGGAUGGUAAGGUAACGGCUUACCAUGGCUAUGAUGUCUAGGGGUUCUGAGAGGAAGGUCCCCCACACUGGAACUGAGACACGGUCCAGACUCCUACGGGAGGCAGCAGUGAGGAAUAUUGGACAAUGGAUGGAAAUCUGAUCCAGCCAUGCCGCGUGCAGGAAGACGGUCCUAUGGAUUGUAAACUGCUUUUGUAUGGGAGCAAUAAGGCCUUCGUGAAGGCUGAUGAGAGUACCAUACGAAUAAGCACCGGCUAACUCCGUGCCAGCAGCCGCGGUAAUACGGAGGGUGCAAGCGUUAUCCGGAUUUAUUGGGUUUAAAGGGUGCGUAGGCGGUUAUUUAAGUCAGUGGUGAAAGUUUUCGGCUCAACCGGAAAAUUGCCAUUGAUACUGGAUAGCUAGAAUAUGGUUGCUGUGAGUAGAAUGUGUGGUGUAGCGGUGAGAUGCAUAGAUAUCACACAGAAUACCGAUUGCGAAGGCAUCUCACGAAGCCAUCAUUGACGCUGAGGCACGAAAGUGUGGGGAUCAAACA